UACAGAGGUCUCAAGCGUUUGUUCGGAUUCAUUGGGCGUAAAGGGCGCGUAGGCGGCGGGGGUAAGUCGGGUGUGAAAUCUCAGAGCUCAACUCUGAAACUGCACUCGAUACUGCUCUGCUUGAGGACUAGAGAGGAGACUGGAAUUCACGGGUGUAGCAGUGAAAAUGCGUAGAUAUCGUAAGGAAGACCAAGUGGGCGAAGGCG
rnacentral:rRNA from 1 species